GACCUCAAAUCAGAUAGGACUACCCGCUGAACUUAAGCAUAUCAAUAAGCGGAGGAAAAGAAACUAACAAGGAUUCCCCCAGUAACGGCGAGUGAAGUGGGAAAAGCUCAACUUUAAAAUCUGGCAGCUUUGCUGUCCGAGUUGUAGUCUCGAGAAGUGUUUUCCGCGUUGGCACGUGUAUGAGUCUGUUGGAACACAGCGUCAUAGAGGGUGAGAACCCCGUUCAUGACACGUUCACCAGUGCUUUGUGAUACACUUUCGAUGAGUCGAGUUGUUUGGGAAUGCAGCUCAAAAUGGGUGGUAAAUUCCAUCUAAAGCUAAAUAUUGGCGAGAGACCGAUAGCAAACAAGUACCGUGAGGGAAAGAUGAAAAGCACUUUGGAAAGAGAGUUAAAAGUACGUGAAAUUGUUGAAAGGGAAACGCUUGAAGUCAGACGUGCGCGGUACUUGUACCACUGCAGGCCAGCAUCGGUUAUACGAGCCGGAUAAAGGUUAUUGGAAGGUAGCAGUCUCGGCUGUGUUAUAGCCUAUAACUGAAUACGGAUUAUAUGACCGAGGGACGCAGCGCGCCGCAAGGCAAAGGAUUCGUUCUUUCGCGCUUAGGAUGCUGGUGAAAUGGCUUUAAACGACCCGUCUUGAAACACGGACCAAGGAGUCUAACAUGCUUGCGAGUGUUUGGGUGGUCAAACCCAUACGCGUAAUUAAAGUGAAUGGAGGUGGGAUCUUUAACCGGAGCACCAUCGACCGAUCCGGAUUUUUAAUGAAGGAUUUGAGUAAGAGCACGUAUGUUGGGACCCGAAAGAUGGUGAACUAUGCCUGAAUAGGGUGAAGCCAGAGGAAACUCUGGUGGAGGCUCGUAGCGGUUCUGACGUGCAAAUCGAUCGUCAAAUUUGGGUAUAGGGGCGAAAGACUAAUCGAACCAUCGGCUACUGGUGGUUAAGAGAGACAGGAAAGCUGAUCUCUAGUGAGUAUUUCGAACUUGCAACAUUAUUCAAAUUGCUGGAAGUCCCUUCGAGGCCACGAAUACGAAGUCACCAGUCCGAAAGGAGGUGAUGGCUGCCUGACUAUGUAAUGCGUAGUUCAGUCGGGUAACGUAAUAAUUUCAUGUGUCUAACGGGUGAUCAGCAGCCAAGUCCCUUAACAGGGAUGCAGUUCAACGACUAAAUGGUGAUGGGUCCGAUCAGAUCGGGCUUAAGAUAUAGUCUGUCCCACUUGAAAAAGUGCUUAAGAAUGAAGUCCAGACUUAAAUAAAUAAUUGAAAAGGCAGGAAUUUUGGGCCGGAGUCUUUAAGGGCUGUAAUUUAUAUCACAGCUGGGAAUAUAAGGAAUAACAGUACU
rnacentral:rRNA from 1 species